AUUGAACGCUGGCGGCAGGCCUAACACAUGCAAGUCGAACGAGCGGCGGACGGGUGCGUAAUGUUUGGGAAACCGCCGGAUGGAGGGGGAUAACUACUGGAAACGGUAGCUAAUACCGCAUAACAUCAGAUGUGCCCAGAUGGGAUUAGCUAGUAGGUGGGGUAACGGCGCAGCUAGGCGACGAUCCCCAGCUGGUCUGAGAGGAUGACCAGCCACACUGGGACUGAGACACGGGCCAUACUCCUACGGGAGGCAGCAGUGGGGAAUAUUGCACAAUGGGCGCAAGCCUGAUGCAGCCAUGCCGCGUGUGUGAAGAAGGCCUUCGGGUUGUAAAGCACUUUCAGCGGGGCGGCGUUACCCGCAGAAGAAGCACCGGCUAACUCCGUGCCAGCAGCCGCGGUAAUAC
rnacentral:rRNA from 1 species